AUUAGAAUGACAAGCAAAAUCAAAUUUUCUAAUCCACAUUUUAAAUUGGAAUCAAAUUAAUCUGUUAUAUACUCUAGGAUGUCAAAUUAUACUUUAACAUGCCAAAGUCUUAUAAGUUAUGAGUGAUUAAAAUGUCGAAUAAGCUCAGGUUAUUUCCAAACUUAACACAAAAAUAUUAACACUAUGAGUUAUAAUUUGCUUCAUCAUGUUCAGAAUUAAGUCUAGAAUUUCCUGUGGUUAAACUACUCACUCAUGCACCAAUUUAUUCAUACAACCUUCAGAGCCUGCCAUAUGCCAGGCACCAUCUGAGACGCUAGAUCUAAAACAGCAGGGAAAAAAAGACCAGUAUCCCCAACCUCAUGAAACUUAAAUGCAAGGGGAAUGCAAAGCAGAAAGACCAACAAAGAACUACAAAUUAAAUCAUGUGGUAUGUCAGAUGGAGAUUACCAUGAACAAAAGAACACUGGAUAGGGAGUUCCUGAGUUAUUACGGUGGCACUUUUACUUAGCACAGUCAGGAAAGAGCUCCUGUAAAUGGUGACAAUUGAGGAAACACCUGGAGGAGGUAAAGAAGUCAGCCCAUGGAUAUCUGGGUCAGAAGCACUCCAGGCAGAGGGAUGAGCAAACACAGACGCCCUGAGAAAGGAAUGCAGCUGGCAUGGUGGAGGAGUAGCCCAAAGGCCAAUGUGAGUGUGGCCCAAGCAGGGAGAAUGAAGAGACAACAGAACUGCCUGAUACCCACAAGGGACUAAUGACUGAGUAGUGAAUGAAGGGAAGAAUGAAUAAGUAAUCAACAGAUAGGAUCUGCCUCAACUGCUUUACUUGUACUCACUCCAUCAUCACAGCAAUACCAUAAGCAACAUGUAUCAGUUUUCUGACAGAGACUUUGACCAGGGGAGAAGAAAUAACCUGUCCAGCAUGAUAUAGCUGAUAGUCAAAACCUGCAAGAUGUUUUCAAGAAUCAGAAAAUAGAGAGAUUAAGAAGAUAGACUUGUUGUCCAUAAGGAUCACACUCCAGUGCAGAUAAGAGCAUUUAAGACACUGCUACCUUGAUGCUGAACCAGCAGACAACAUGUUUUCACAAGGGCUUCUCAUUAAAUGUCAUUCCAGGAGCAUGGUCUCAAGUAAGGGCUAGCAUGAUGUCCUAGACAUUCUAAAAAUCCUCCCAAAAACAGUGUGAGGUAGGUAUAAUUAUCUCCACUUAGAGAGCUGAAACCCAAGAAGCUGAGUGAUAAACUGACUUGUCACGUGGAGGCAGAUCUGAAUGCCUGAAGGCUGAUGUCAAAGAUUCUUACCUUCCACUUUUCUUCUACUUCAGAGGACUACAGCCUUGUCUGGAGAAGCUGCGUGGAGACAUGCAUGAAUGCAGGUCUCUCAAACGAGGGUCCACAUAGUAUGUCAGCGCAGGAGAAGGAAAGAAGGAAAUCACCUUCUCAUCAGGAAGGGUGAUUGCUCUUGAGCAAACACAAGUGAAACCCACUUAAAGUUGAUUCAGCUAAGCUGACAUAAUAUUCAAAGUGAUCCAGGAGGAUGUUAUAAUCAACAGUGUCAAAAGUAGCAUUAAGAUCAAGCAAAAUUAAAAUACUCAAACUGUCAGAUGCCAACUGCAUUAAUAAAUCAUUAAAAAGAAAAUCUCAGGCAAAUGCUGCUCUGCUGUGAAGUGAUAAAAAGCUGGAUUCAAAUUGCUCAGGGAGAUUAUGUCUCUUCCUUAAAUAGAUCUUGUUAUGGCUGGCUGUGAAUGUUCUGGUCCAAAGAGGUACAUUCAGUACCUGAUCCAAUGGCUACACAUAGCACAGUAGUUUAUUUCUCAAGAUUUAAUUGUACUCUUGAAAGAGAAAGAAGGGAAAUUCAUUCACUGAACAACCGUUUAUUAGUUUUUGACUCAGAUGAGCACGAUGACAGGUGCUGUGUGUACAGAAAUUGCUAAGAUACCACCCCUGGCUUCAAGAUACUUAUGGACAAGGAGACUCAAUGUUUUCCUUAAACUUAUUAAAUAAUAUAAUACUUAAUGUCAAAAGAGUAGAGAUAUUUGAGAAAAGCCGGAAGGAUUAGGUAUUGCCUCUGUCCUUAAGAGUCUUGCACUCCCUUUGAGAAACAAAAGGAAGUGACAGCUGCCAAUUUCUUAAAAUAUGCUUCGUGGGAUUUUAUUCAAUGAAAUAACCAUAGCAUUUAUCAUCCAAACUUGACUUUUACAAAAGAUAAGGACUAUUAUUAAUGAUUAUAUUAGGACAACAGAUGUAAACUAGCACACAAUAAAUCAACAUGCAUGAUGACCCGUGAAUCUCAGAACUCAAUAUGAGAGACUAUCACUUCCUAAGAAUCUGGGAUGGGUUUAUUUGGACUUGACAAGUAGUGCAAGUCCUACAUCCCAUACUCAAAUUAUCCAGGUCAUCUUUGUAAGUGCAAGACCAAUCAUGGUUGUCACUUAUCAUUUGGAAAACCAUGGAGUAGAUAUGGUGUACCAACAGAGGAAACAAAUUUACCCAUACGGAUAAUAAUUCACACAAUGUCCAAAUUAUUUCAAUCUUACAUGAAGUUUCUCAUCUUAAAACACCGUGUUUCUUACUUGAUGUGGUCACUGUUGUGGUUUUUUUUUUUUUUUUUUGUGAGACAGAGUCUUGCUCUUGUUCAAGCUGGAGUGCAGUGGCAAUCUCAACUCACUGCAACCUCUGCCUCCUGAGUUCAAGCAAUUCUCCUGCCUCAGCCUACUGAGUAGCUGGGAUUACAGGCAUCCGCCACCAUGCCUGGCUAAUUUUUGUAGUUUUAGUAGAGACGGGGUUUCACCAUGUUGGCGAGGCUGGUCUCGAACUCCUGACCUCAAGUGAUCCUCCGGCCUGGGCCUCCCAAAGUGCUGGGGUUACAGACCUGAGCCGCUGCGCCCGGCCUGUUGUGACUUUAAUGUUGCUCUAAAAUCCUUUGACAAUAAGUACUUGAGGAGCUUCAUAUUUUCCUGGACUAGAUUUAUAGAAUGAGAUUUCACCUUAAGACUAAACCUGAUGAGGCUAAUGAAAUGGGAGUUUUCAGGUUCCUGGUAGAAAGGAAGUUUAUUUUGCAUUUGGGAGGAAUCAUCUGAUCCCAGAGGGAUGACUAGCUAUUUUAAAAUGUGGCCUCAAAAUUCCUUGACAAUCUUCCCUAACCACAUGGGUUAUGGUUCUCCUCCCCUUGAAUCUGGGCUCUGUGACUGAUUUACCAACGGAAUACGGUAGAACCAAUAUCGUUCUAUUUUUUAAGCCCAGGCUUCUAGGAAUGCUCAGUCUAAGAAUCCAGCCUCCAUAUUGUGAGGAAUCCCAAACUAGCCUAUAUGAUAGAUAACAUGGAGAGGCCAAAAAUAGGGGUUCCAGCCAACAGCGCAGUGGACCGCUGUGCUGACAACCAGAAUCAACUGCCAAACAUGUGAGCGAGAAUAGCUUCAGAUAACUCAAGCCCACAGCUUUUGAGCUUUCUCAUAUUAAAUUCCAGAUAUCAUGGGGCAGAUAUAAGCCAUACUUGCUGUACCUUCUCUGAACUUGUGGCCCAUAGAAAGUAUGAGGCAUAAUACAAUUGUUGUUUAUAUCAAUACAUUUUGAGGUAGUGGGUUGUACAUAAAUAGAUAACCAAAAUACUAAUGUUAACCUAUUUUAAAAGUCACUUAUCUACCAGACAAAAAGGAAUUUCUCAUUUGGUUCUCAACCUGUAAAAAGGCUUUUGAUCACUUUUUUUAGCUUUGAAUCGGGUUCCAACUCUUUGUGUGAUGGAACAGCUCUGACCCUAAAGAUACAAACUGUUGAACCCAUAUCACUUUAUUUACCCCAUUAGCCAAUCAUGAAAAUUGCUUAUAUAGUAAAUAAUCAGUAAAUCUGUAUUAAAUAAAUUAAUAAAUGAUCAUGAGAUCU